rnacentral:rRNA from 1 species
AACGUAGGAGGCAAGCGUUAUCCGGAUUUACUGGGCGUAAAGCGUGUGCAGGCGGUUGUUCAAGUCGGGUAUGAAAGCGCUCCGCUUAACGGGGCGAGGCUAGACGAGACUGGGCGACUAGAAUCAGACAGAGGCAAGCGGAAUUCCGGGUGUAGUGGUGAAAUGCGUAGAGAUCGGGAGGAACACCAGUGGCGAAGGCGGCUACCUGGACCAGCACUGACACUGAGGCACGAAAGCGUGGGGAGCAAACAGG